rnacentral:rRNA from 1 species
GACGAACGCUGGAGGCGUGCUUAACACAUGCAAGUCGAACGAUGAAAUGGAGCUUGCUCCAUGGAUUAGUGGCGAACGGGUGAGUAACACGGGAAUAACCUGCCCUUAAUUUUGGAAUAACCCAGGGAAACCUGGGCUAAUACCGGAUAAGUAAACCUGUGGCCUCACACGGUUUUGGCAAGUUUUUUGAUUAAGGAUGGAUUCCCGGCCUAUCAGCUUGUUGGUGAGGUAAUGGCUCACCAAGGCGACGACGGGUAGCCGGCCGGAGGGGGGGAUCGGCCACACUGAGAGUGAGACACGGCCCAGACUCCUACGGGAGGCAGCAGUGGGGAAUAUUGCGCAAUGGAGGGAAGUCUGACGCAGCGACGCCUCGUGGGGGACGAAGGUCUUCGGAUUGUAAACCUCUUUCUGCAGGGACGAAGCGAAAGUGACGGUACCUGCAGAAGAAGCACCGGCUAACUACGUGCCAGCAGCCGCCGUAA